GGGUGUGUACAGUAGAGGUAAUAUACAGGAGAGAGGGGAAAAGGGUGUGUACAGUAGAGGUAAUAUACAGGAGAGAGGGGAAAAGGGUGUGUACAGUAGAGAGGUAAUAUACAGGAGAGAGGGGAAAAGGGUGUGUACAGUAGAGAGGUAAUAUACAGGAGAGAGGGGAAAAGGGUGUGUACAGUAGAGGUAAUAUACAGGAGAGAGGGGAAAAGGGUGUGUACAGUAGAGGUAAUAUACAGGAGAGAGGGGAAAAGGGUGUGUACAGUAGAGAGGUAAUAUACAGGAGAGAGGGGAAAAGGGUGUGUACAGUAGAGAGGUAAUAUACAGGAGAGAGGGGAAAAGGGUGUGUACAGUAGAGAGGUAAUAUACAGGAGAGAGGGGAAAAGGGUGUGUACAGUAGAGAGGUAAUAUACAGGAGAGAGGGGAAAAGGGUGUGUACAGUAGAGGUAAUAUACAGGAGAGAGGGGAAAAGGGUGUGUACAGUAGAGGUAAUAUACAGGAGAGAGGGGAAAAGGGUGUGUACAGUAGAGGUAAUAUACAGGAGAGAGGGGAAAAGGGUGUGUACAGUAGAGGUAAUAUACAGGAGAGAGGGGAAAAGGGUGUGUACAGUAGAGAGGUAAUAUACAGGAGAGAGGGGAAAAGGGUGUGUACAGUAGAGGUAAUAUACAGGAGAGAGGGGAAAAGGGUGUGUACAGUAGAGGUAAUAUACAGGAGAGAGGGGAAAAGGGUGUGUACAGUAGAGGUAAUAUACAGGAGAGAGGGGAAAGGGGUGUGUACAGUAGAGGUAAUAUACAGGAGAGAGGGGAAAAGGGUGUGUACAGUAGAGGUAAUAUACAGGAGAGAGGGGAAAGGGGUGUGUACAGUAGAGGUAAUAUACAGGAGAGAGGGGAAAAGGGUGUGUACAGUAGAGGUAAUAUACAGGAGA